AUUGAACGCUGGCGGCAUGCCUUACACAUGCAAGUCGAACGGUAACGCGGGGCAACCUGGCGACGAGUGGCGAACGGGUGAGUAAUGUAUCGGAACGUGCCCAGUUGUGGGGGAUAACUGCUCGAAAGAGCAGCUAAUACCGCAUACGACCUGAGGGUGAAAGCGGGGGAUCGCAAGACCUCGCGCAAUUGGAGCGGCCGAUAUCAGAUUAGGUAGUUGGUGGGGUAAAGGCUCACCAAGCCAACGAUCUGUAGCUGGUCUGAGAGGACGACCAGCCACACUGGGACUGAGACACGGCCCAGACUCCUACGGGAGGCAGCAGUGGGGAAUUUUGGACAAUGGGCGCAAGCCUGAUCCAGCAAUGCCGCGUGCAGGAAGAAGGCCUUCGGGUUGUAAACUGCUUUUGUACGGAACGAAACGGCUCUCACUAAUACUGAGGGCUAAUGACGGUACCGUAAGAAUAAGCACCGGCUAACUACGUGCCAGCCGCCGCGGUAACAC
rnacentral:rRNA from 1 species